rnacentral:rRNA from 1 species
GACGAACGCUGGCGGCGUGCUUAACACAUGCAAGUCGAACGGGAACCUUUAUUUCGGUAAAGGUGAGAGUGGCAAACGGGUGAGUAACACGUAGGCAACCUGCCGACAGGAUGGGGACAACAUUCCGAAAGGAAUGCUAAUACCGAAUGGAGUCCGAGGAUGGCAUCAUCCUUGGAUAAAAGAUGGCCUCUGAAUAUGCUAUCGCCUGUCGAUGGGCCUGCGUCUGAUUAGCCAGUUGGCGGGGUAACGGCCCACCAAAGCGACGAUCAGUAGCCGGUCUGAGAGGAUGAACGGCCACAUUGGGACUGAGACACGGCCCAGACUCCUACGGGAGGCAGCAGUGGGGAAUCUUCCACAAUGGGCGAAAGCCUGAUGGAGCAACGCCGCGUGAGUGAAGAAGGUCUUCGGAUCGUAAAGCUCUGUUGCACGGGACGAAAAACUGGGUUUGAAAAC